CACGACACCGCUGGAGACGGUGAGAAAAACACACUCCGUCCACGAUUGGUCACCGGCAGUAGCAGGACGAACCGUCGCCGUAGCCGCCAGGCUGAACCAUAAGACGCCUCAACAGCGACCGACGAAGUCGUCGAGGCGAGGCGACGGCCCGGAGGUGAACUGCAGCGACAGCGUGAACUUGGCCGGCGACUACAAGGACCCAUCCACGGGGUCCCUUCCUCUCUGAAAACGGCCUAAUUGCUGAUAUCUUGCCUCCCCUCUCCUUCUCCCUAUCUUAAUUUUCAAGCGAUUUAGGUAUGGUAUUACUGUUAGGUAACCCUAGAAACUUUGUUGGAACCUAAAAAAUAGGUACUCUGAUGGAUUAGAGUGGUUCUGCCUCAAACAACUACCAAUGGAUUGUUGAAUUAGCCAAUGUCAUAAUUAGUAAAUCUGUGCUGUUAUAUUCUGUAACGAGAUCACAUUAUGCCCAUGUUUAGAUGACACUGACCCAAGUUUACUU